CUCAGUGAAUUGAGAGAGGCUGGGAACAUGCAUUAAUACCCGAUAGGAUGGGCCCCUGGUGAGGGCCCUACAUGCUAAUUGCACCUCCUCCUCUCUCCACUGUGGAAUAUCAGAGCUAAUUUUGAUUCCAUUAGGAGUCUAUUUAGGGGAGGGAGCUUA